GGCAGCUAUUUUUCAUUCUUCUCCAUCACCAACACAGACCACCCAAACACCAUCCACUACUUCCAUCACCACACCGACACCUUCUUCUUCUUCCCUGAUUUAGUUAGUAGACACAAAUCUAUGAAACCCCAAGAACCCUAGAAUUAAAAUCUAGAUUUGUUCUUACUUCACAAAGCUUUAUCCUAACCCAUUUCAGCAUUUUCUUCUUUAAAUCAUCAUUCUCGUUACGAUCUUGAUCAUCAAAUUCAUCAGGUAUGAUGUACCGAAGCUUUAUUUUAUUGGUUUGUUGCAGGAUAUAACCCUUCAAGAAGCCGAAACAGGACAACAUUACUUUAGACACUGAACUCGUUGAAAAUCCUAUCUAUAUCCUGGAGCUUAGGUUUUAGGCUUCUUAUCGCGGACAGACAUUUGCUAAGACUGAUGCAGUACGGGGAAUGAUGUACUACAGGAAUUCAAUUAUGCUCCAGAGCAAUUUGGAAAGGAUUUCUCUGGGAGAUUUGCAUUCUUGGUUCCAUAUAUUAUUUUCUUGGUUGAGUCAUGUUAGGAGAUUCCCUAAUGUUGGGAAUUACAGAUAUGGAAGCCACACUCUCAGCAAAGGAGGCCUUUGACACUCAAGAUUUUGAGUUGUCCCCUGAAGCUUGAGCGCAGACAUUGUCAAUUCAUCCAUAAUUACUUAUGAAAUGAUGCGUAUAAAGCUUUUGCAACAUUGGUGACCUAGACUGUUAUUCUUGUGGACCUGGCUGCCUCACGUGAUCAUGCGUGGAAUAGUGAUAUGGAAAGUCCUCGACAAAGCUUAAGAUAGUGGUCUUUCAGUCCCACAAAUAUGUAUCUCUACGUGAUCCUUCGCUCAAGUUUUCAGUGGAAUAUUCUGAGUUACGGUUUAACUUUACUUGUUUACUCCUUCAGGAGAUAACUACCAAUCUUGGAUUAGCUAAAUUUUCUAAUUCUCAUUUUGUGCGUUUGUUAUGCAACGGCCUCUUAUUGAAUGAUGAACAACCUACUAUAUACUGAUGCAUAUGAAAUGAAGCUUUCUCCAUUUGAGGCAGUGGGUACCAACAAUUCCUCAUUUGGAUAUUAUUUUUACCAUAUGCUAUCUUUGACUACACGAUCAGUAAUUUCUUAAGAUGAAUAUUUUCCACUACAUAGUUCUUCUAUUUCUGAAUGUAUAUUUCCUUCUUUGGAUGUCAUUGAUGAGUUGGAGCUCGAAAAACAUAGAAGAUGGACCAGCGCCGCUCGGAUACAGUUUCUGAAUGUUCUGUAAUAAAGAUGUUACCAUUGGCACAUCGAUGGUAACAAUGAAUUUUAACCAUGGAAAUAAUCAUUCGUUGGGAGAACCUUACUGGACUCUAUCAUCCAUUGCCAUGUGGUGUGGGAUAUUCCCAAAUGUUCAAGUCAGUUUAUUUUUACUUACCGUUGUUUUCUUUUUACUUAUGUAUAUUAAAUAUUAAUAAACCAAAUAUCUCCAAAUAUUGAUUGUUUGAUAGUUACCGGAUUAGACUAGUAACUUACUGCCAUAAUUUUACAAUCUUAGGAGUUCAUUGCAUUUCACUACGACUAAAUAUUAGAUAGUUUUUACAUAAUAACGCACAACUCUAGAAGUGUAUCUCUUAAAUACUUGGUUGUCAGACUAGUUAUAGCAUGUCAUACAAAUAAUUUCACAACUGUGAACAACAAUGAACUAAAAACUGUUCUCUUGAAAACUGCUUUUCAGAAGUUGUUGCUUCCUAGGUUGUACUCAAUGUUCCUGAAACCAGAGUUGAUGAUGCACAAUUCGAGGAGAAUGAAAUUUAUGCACUUGAUAUGGUUUCCAUCACAAGGGAGGGGAGAAAAUCAUUUUGCUGUUUAAUCAAUAUAGUUUUUUAGUUCAUCUUCUUGUAAUCUAAUCCUAGAACUACAAAUUAUACUGGUUAGAACUACAAAUUUUAAUUCUUUGUGUCCAAUGAAUCAAUGAAUGUUAAGUUGAAUGA